AUUGAACGCUGGCGGCAGGCCUAACACAUGCAAGUCGAACGGUAACAGGAAGAAGCUUGCUUCUUUGCUGACGAGUGGCGGACGGGUGAGUAAUGUCUGGGAAACUGCCUGAUGGAGGGGGAUAACUACUGGAAACGGUAGCUAAUACCGCAUAACGUCGCAAGACCAAAAAGGGGGACCUUCGGGCCUCUUGCCAUCGGAUGUGCCCAGAUGGGAUUAGCUAGUAGGUGGGGUAACGGCUCACCUAGGCGACGAUCCCUAGCUGGUCUGAGAGGAUGACCAGCCACACUGGAACUGAGACACGGUCCAGACUCCUACGGGAGGCAGCAGUGGGGAAUAUUGCACAAUGGGCGCAAGCCUGAUGCAGCCAUGCCGCGUGUAUGAAGAAGGCCUUCGGGUUGUAAAGUACUUUCAGCGGGGAGGAAGGGAGUAAAGUAAAUACCUUUGCUCAUUGACGUACCCGCA
rnacentral:rRNA from 1 species